UAUCCUGACCGUGCAAAGGUAGCAUAAUAAUUUGCCUCCUAAUUAGAGGCUGGUAUGAAUGAAUUUACGAAAGUAUGACUGUCUCCUGCUAAAAUAUAUAAACUAAACUUUAAGUGAAGAUGCUUAAAUGAAUCUAAAGGACAAAAAGACCCUGUUGAGCUUUACCUACAAUAAAUGUAAAAAUUUACUAAGGUUUAGUUGGGGCGACUAAGGAAGAAAUAAAUCUUCCUCAACAAACAGACAAACGUGUCGCAUAAAUGAUCUGCAAUAGCAAUCAAAAGAUAAGCA
rnacentral:rRNA from 1 species